CAUUCCUUUGGAAAAUGAAAUUUAUAUGUAGAAGUAGUGGACUGAUUUCCAUUGAUGACGAUCAAAUUCUGAGGGAUG